CAAGAUGGUCCUGCUUCUCUUUUUAUGGCUAUGAUGUCAUAUUGUUUAUCGGUUGUAUAGUUUAACGUCAUACUGUGUUGUUUUGGUUAAUGUGCUAUGGCAUUUUACUCUGUAGAUGUUUCAUAUAUUUCACAUUUCCUGCCUCAUACACCGGAUCCUUGUCUCUGUGGCGGGGAAGGAUGGAGAACCUAUAGCACACUGUGCCAGACACUGGUGUGUACAUUGAAGGAGUCAAGCUUGAGAAAUUAACUAUCACUGACCCUGAGGAAAAGGUAUUGCCUCUGUAAUUGCUUCAUUUCUACAGUGCACAAGCUUUCAUAAAUGUGCCUUGCAAAAGUCCUUAGAUUUGGCAUGCAUUUCUUCUAGGUGAAGUGUGACAGAAAUACUGCCGGCCCAUAUUAACUUAAUGUAUAAUUGGCUGCCGGCGACUUAUCCAACAAGAAGUUACCUGUACAAAAUCCCAGUUGACAAUCUAGCUAGCAGGCGGCCCACCUUUCAGCACGUACACUAUAUAAACCGUUAAACAAACAGGUUCAGGUAAUUCAACAAUGGGGUGCAUUAUUCAAUGCAACAACGACAACUUGAUGCGCUUGCUUGUGGUAGUAGCAGUGAUUAUUUGUUUGGUGGGAUUAUUUUCAGUGUCUGAGGUUGGGCCAUCAUCACCGGAAAUCAAAGCUCAGUAUUCAGCGGAAACAAGGCUGCCAAAAGGUCAGCCUGUGCCUCCAUCUGGACCCAGCCCUGAUAUUAACCGAUACUAGACGUUGGGUUUGCCGUUGCUGUACACACACAUGUAUGUGCGUGACGUAAUUAAUGUAUUGAUUAUGGAGUGAUAUUAUGGCAAUAAAAUAGUUGUCCUGUUCUUUAUAUAUAUA